GGAAGUGUAUCCGAAGUGGUUAAGAGGUUGGACUUCUGAUCGCAAGGUUGUGAGUUCAAAUCCCAGUACUACCA